CACGAAGAGUCCUGUAGCGUAGGUCCAGAAACCCAGCUGUGUUGGAUGGAAUGGAAGAGGUGCGGAGUAACAGCAGGAGACAGGAAAGAAGGCGGCUGUAGCAACCUGCCCAGCACCCCCAGAGCCCAGUAUGGUGUCCAGCACAUGAGAACUGCAGCAAAAGUGGGGACUGAGCCUAAGGACUUGGAUGAGGCUUCCCCUGCCGACACUACCUGACCAGUCUGCAGUCACAACCCAGAUGCAGGGACAGCACCUGCCCUUUCCUUGGCAGAGCCAAAGAUGACACCCAGGUACACAGCGGCCCUCUCUCCAGGCCUUAGAGCUCUCAGUGUGCCAUGACAAAGCCCCCCACCCCCAACA